rnacentral:rRNA from 1 species
CCUACGGGAGGCAGCAGUGAGGAAUAUUGGUCAAUGGACGAGAGUCUGAACCAGCCAAGUAGCGUGAAGGAUGACUGCCCUAUGGGUUGUAAACUUCUUUUAUAAAGGAAUAAAACGAGGCACGUGUGCCUUUUUGCAUGUACUUUAUGAAUAAGGAUCGGCUAACUCCGUGCCAGCAGCCGCGGUAAUACGGAGGAUCCGAGCGUUAUCCGGAUUUAUUUGGUUUAAAGGGAGCGUAGAUGGGUUGUUAAGUCAGUUGUGAAAGUUUGCGGCUCAACCGUAAAAUUGCAAUUGAUACUGGCAGUCUUGAGUACAGUUGAGGUAAGCGGAAUUCGUGGUGUAGCGGUGAAAUGCUUAGAUAUCACGAAGAACCCCGAUUGCGAAGGCAGCUUACUAAACUGUGACUGACAUUGAUGCUCGAAAGUGUGGGUAUCAAACAGGAUUAGAUACCCUGGUAGUC